AUGAACGCUGGCGGCGUGCCUAAUACAUGCAAGUCGAGCGAAUGGAUUGAGAGCUUGCUCUCAAGAAGUUAGCGGCGGACGGGUGAGUAACACGUGGGUAACCUGCCCAUAAGACUGGGAUAACUCCGGGAAACCGGGGCUAAUACCGGAUAACAUUUUGAACUGCAUGGUUCGAAAUUGAAAGGCGGCUUCGGCUGUCACUUAUGGAUGGACCCGCGUCGCAUUAGCUAGUUGGUGAGGUAACGGCUCACCAAGGCAACGAUGCGUAGCCGACCUGAGAGGGUGAUCGGCCACACUGGGACUGAGACACGGCCCAGACUCCUACGGGAGGCAGCAGUAGGGAAUCUUCCGCAAUGGACGAAAGUCUGACGGAGCAACGCCGCGUGAGUGAUGAAGGCUUUCGGGUCGUAAAACUCUGUUGUUAGGGAAGAACAAGUGCUAGUUGAAUAAGCUGGCACCUUGACGGUACCUAACCAGAAAGCCACGGCUAACUAC
rnacentral:rRNA from 1 species